AAUGAACACUGGCGGCAUGCCUAACACAUGCGAGUCGAACGAAGGCUUCGCCCUUAGUGGCGCACGGGUGCGUAACGCGUGGGAAUCUGCCCUCAGGUUCGGAAUAACAGCGAGAAAUUGCUGCUAAUCCCGGAUGAUCUCGCGAGAUCAAAGAUUUAUCGCCUGAGGAUGAGCACGCGUAGGAUUAGCUAGUUGGUGUCAGAAAGGCGCACCAGGGCGACGAUCCGUAGCUGGUCUGAGAGGCUGAUCAGCCACACUGGGACUGAGACACGGACCAGACUCCUACGGGGGGCAGCAGUGGGGAAUAUUGGACAAUGGGCGAAAGCCUGAUCCAGCAACGCCGCGUGAGUGAUGAAGGCCUUAGGGUUGUAAAGCUCUUUUACCCGGGAUGAUAAUGACAGUACCGGGAGAAUAAGCUCCGGCUAACUCCGUGCCAGCAGCCGCGGUAA
rnacentral:rRNA from 1 species